rnacentral:lncRNA from 11 species
AUUGACCCUGAGUUUUGGAGUUGUGGUUCACCUACAUUCAGAGAGCACUGUGGACUCAAAUAGUGAUGAAUCUGUACCAAACAUGGCAUGAAUACUCAAUAUGGCCAAAUGUGAACACUGGUGGAGUUUGGGGAAAACAGACCUUGACAUUUGGGAGUUGUAGUUCCUGGGAUUUACAGUUCAGGUACAAUCAAAGAGCCCCUUGAACCCCACCAACGUUAGAACCGGGGUCCCUUCCACACAGAGGAAUAAAAUCCCACAUUAUCUGCUUUGAUCUGGGAUAUGUGGCAGUGUGGACUCAGCAGAUAUUUGUGGGGUUUUCUGCCUUGAUAUUCUGGGUUAUAGGGCUUAUAGUGUGGGAGGGCCCUGGGUCAGACUUCCAACACAGAACUUCCCAUGACUAACAGAACAUAGUGGAGUUUUAGGAGGAACUUCUCCCUUUAGUAAGAGCAUUCAAGGAGCGCAGUCUAAAAUAUCAGAGCCCCAAAGCCAACUGUGCUGUUGAGGGGGGUGUUUCUGAAGCAGAGUCGGAAACCAGGAUGGAGCCAGGCUCGAUAUUGGGAAAGAGCCACAGGCUUCCUCGGGAGGCAAGUCCCGCUGAAAUGCAUGGUAUUGGAGAAGGGGAAGGGACUGGCUGGCUUGGGAGGCUGGCGGGCGGGCGAGGCAGCCUUUCUCCCGUCCCUUGGGCGAGGAAAGCCUGGGGAGAACCAAGCGACUCUCUCUCUCUCCCAGCAGCGAGACCCCCUCCGACGCCCCCCAGGCAGCGACAGACAGACCGCGAAGAUCUGCCACUCAUUUGGGAAUGUGGCUGCACUCGUGUUGUUCCGCUGUGUGUUGCUGCCGAGAGAAACAGCUGUGGAUCCGGGCGGGAGGCAGACCGUGUUGGAUAAUACAGAA